rnacentral:rRNA from 1 species
GACGAACGCUGGCGGCGUGCCUAAUACAUGCAAGUCGAACGAAGCUGUUUUAACUGGUGCUUGCACCGACUUAAACAACUGAGUGGCGAACGGGUGAGUAACACGUGGGUAACCUGCCCCAAAGCGGGGGAUAACAUUUGGAAACAGAUGCUAAUACCGCAUAACCACAGAAACCACAUGGUUUCUGUGUCAAAGAUGGUUUCGGCUAUCACUUUGGGAUGGACCCGCGGCGUAUUAGCUAGUUGGUAAGGUAAUGGCUUACCAAGGCAAUGAUACGUAGCCGAACUGAGAGGUUGAUCGGCCACAUUUAGACUGAGACACGGCCCAAACUCCUACGGGAGGCAGCAGUAGGGAAGCUUCCACAAUGGACGAAAGUCUGAUGGAGCAACGCCGCGUGAGUGAAGAAGGUUUUCGGAUCGUAAAACUCUGUUGUCAGAGAAGGACGUGUGCGAGAGUAACUGCUCGUGCAGUGACGGUAUCUGGCCAGAAAGCCACGGCUAACUACGUGCCAGCAGCCGCAGUAA